CCCGCUGGAUGACGUCAUCCUUCACCGCCUCCUCCGCGGGUCCGGGUGGGGGCGGGGCCGCCGGGAAGCUCCCCCGCUGGGGAGGGGCGGGGCGGGGCGUGCGGCCGCGAGGGCUGCCGGGGGCUGUGGGGCGCGCCUACUGCGCUUGCGCGAGCCGCCGGGUCCCACCACGCCCCCCGGCCUGGGCUGGGCCCCGCCCUGAAUCGGAGCGGGGCGCUCCAGGGCGGUGGGGCGGGUGCCGGGGCCGGCGCGUCCCUGAAGACCUGCCGCUAGGCCGCCGCUAGCCUCACUCCUCUCUCGCCGGGUCACGCGAAGGGCUCCAAGCUGCCGUCGCCCCCGGCGCGAGUCGGGUCCACCUCGGCCAAUGGGAGUUCGGUCCUCGGGCGGAGCAGCCAAUUGAGGGCGCGCUCCGCGGCCGGUGGGCGGAGCACCUGGGAGCUGCACCUGGGGCGCACCGCACCUGCGCACUUACUCCCCGCCCGCCUACCGGCGGGACUGCUGAUCACGGUCCUCAGACGCAGCGCGAGCCCCGGAAACUCCGUGUCCACCUUUGACCGCAGCCCUGCACAGAGUUCACAUUGCUUACCGCGUUGUUCGUCCCAGGGUUCUUUGAGCCUCCGGGAUGCAAUCUUAGGGAAACUUGGUGUUGCAGUACAACGUGGCCCACCGUUCCUUCAUCGUGGGCGUCUUUUCUGUGGCAGACGGAGUGAUUAUUCAUUUGGCGAAAUGCUGGGUGUGUAUCAGAAUCUAGCCCGCUGUAAGCACGCAAGAGAUCCAAUUUAGUAAUAAAAAGGAAUGAGGCACUGUUGCAAACAGGAAGGACUGUCAGAAACGCCAUGCUGAAUGAAAGGAGCCAGUCUCGAAAGAGCAUAUGAUGAUCGAUUGUCUAAUGUCAACUUGACUAGGGUAUAAUACCCAGUUAUUUCGUCACACACGACUAUAGGUGUUGCCAUGAAGGUAUUUUGUAGAUGCAAUCAGCAUCUGCAAUCAAUGGACCUUGAUUAAAGGAGAUUACCUGUGAGAACGUGGGUGGGCCUCAUCCAAUCAGUUGAAGGCAUUAUGAACACAAACAACUGUGGUUUCCUGGAGAAGAAAUUCUGCCUCAAGGCUGCCACACCAAAGCAUUGCCUGAAUUCCCAGCCUGCCAUACAGAUAUCACUCUUGCCUGCACCCUCAAUCAUGUGAGCCAUUUCCUUAAAAUAAGUCCCCUAAUAUAUACACAUAUACCCAAUUGGCUCUGUUUCUCCGGAGAACCCAGAAGCUCUAAACCAGGCUAAGUGACUCUACAGUGAUAGGGGCAAAGUGGCUGUGGGGUAGGGAGGGGACUAACCGGGAGAAAGCAAGAGAACUCUCUGGGGUGAUGGAAAUGUCCCAUAUCUUGUUGGAGAAAUGGUUACACGGGUGUCUACAACUCAAACUACUCAUCGAACUGUGCACUGCAAGUGGGUCAUUUAUUUUGCGUGAGUUAUGCACCAAUAAAUUGAUCUUUAAUAUAUAUCUAAUUUUCCACCAAGUCUAAAGAAGACUAUAUGUCUCAAAAGUUUGUAAGAAAUCACAGAGGAAGUUACCUGUUAACUGUUCUUACCCGAAUACAUUUAUUUUUUUAAAAUUUCUUUGAUUUAUUUAGAUUUCCGCGACUAAAUACCAUUUACAACAUUGACUGUGGAUCGUUUUCAAGUUCAGCUUUAGUGGCUAGCUCAGAGUUAUCACAGACGUGCCCUGUUGGCAGGGAGCACAGUCUUCCGGUCUAAAUUGCAUCAGAUUUAGAGACUUGUUCAAGUGCAGGGUGUUCUGGUCUCCCUGGGCUGCUCAGGGCGGCCAGCCGGGCUGGAGGGAGUGGCCAUGGGAAGCCCCCAUGUGUGUGUGUGUCCCAGGGGCUGUUCAUCCUACCAUUCGAUGCCAGGCGCCACACGCA